rnacentral:rRNA from 1 species
UACAGAGGGUGCGAGCGUUAAUCGGAAUUACUGGGCGUAAAGCGCGCGUAGGCGGCUUUGCAAGUCGGGUGUGAAAUCCCCAGGCUUAACCUGGGAACUGCAUUCGAGACUGCAUUGCUAGAGUAUGGGAGAGGGAAGUGGAAUUUCCGGUGUAGCGGUGAAAUGCGUAGAUAUCUGGAGGAACACCGGUGGCGAAGGCGGCAUCCUGGACCAAUACUGACGCUGAGGAGCGAAAGCCAGGGGAGCAAACGGG